ACAUUUCACAAACUUUAUGGGAGAGCCAAAACAUUUGUACACUCAUGGAUGACAGUACUUUUGCCAGUAGAAAGAGCUCAUUAAGAGCUUUCAUAUGGUAUAUAUAUCUCCAUUUCACCAAAAAUUUCACUUACGCCCUUCUGGUUCUCACCCCUCGAUAUAUACAAAUGUUUUUAUUUACAA